rnacentral:misc_RNA from 1 species
GCUCCGUUGGUGAACCAGCGGAGGGAUCAUUACAGGACUCGCAAGACUCCUACAACCCUGUGAACUUAACUAUAAGCACGUUGCUUCGGCGGGUGUCUCGGAGGGGGUUCUCCCUCCCCGAGACGCUAAACCCGCCGGCAGUCUACUAUACUCUGUCUCUUUGCGUUGGCAUCUCGAGUACAAUCAAACAAGAUAAAACUUUCAACAACGGAUCUCUUGGUUCUG